rnacentral:tRNA from 1 species
GUUUUCAUAGUUUAAAAAAAACAUUACAUUUUCACUGUAAAAAUAAAUAAUUGUAAUUUUGUAAAUA